CGAGGCCUGGUUCGAGGGCGAGGGGGUGCGGCCGCUGGCGGUGGCCGAGUUCGACGACACCGCCCUGCUCACCGCCUUCGGGCGGCGGGGCCUCGGC
rnacentral:tRNA from 1 species